rnacentral:rRNA from 1 species
UACGUAGGGUGCGAGCGUUGUCCGGAAUUAUUGGGCGUAAAGAGCUUGUAGGCGGUUUGUCGCGUCUGCUGUGAAAUCUCAAGGCUCAACCUUGAGCUUGCAGUGGGUACGGGCAGACUAGAGUGUGGUAGGGGGAGACUGGAAUUCCUGGUGUAGCGGUGAAAUGCGCAGAUAUCAGGAGGAACACCGAUGGCGAAGGGCAGGUCUCUGGGCCACUACUGACGCUGAGAAGCGAAAGCAUGGGGAGCGAACAGGAUUAGAAACUCGUAGGUC